rnacentral:lncRNA from 1 species
UAGUAAUAAUUCAAGUAGCAGUAAACUAGUCACAAGUUUGAGCAAUAACAUAAGUACAAAUGAGCAGAAUAAAAAGGUUUUAGAAGAAGAACAUAAAAUGAUUGAUUAUAUUUUUAAUAAAAUUAUUCAUAACAAUCCGGUCGUUGAACAACUGAAAGAAAAGGAAAACAAAUUAUUACAAUUUUAUGAAAAAUGUAAAAACGAAAACAAAUUAAAAAGAGAUGAACAGUUAGAAAAUGUACAAUACUAUAAUAAAAAAAAGGCUGAAGAGAGAAGAAACAAAGAUAGCUCUUUCAAUAGUAUAGGUGAAAAUAUUAUAAAUGUAAGGGAUAAUUAUGACGAUAUAAUUAGGUUAAUAGACCAAGUGGACCUACAUGAAAGGCAAGACAACAACAACAACAACAAACAACAAAACGAUAUCGUCUCAACUAAAAAGAAAGGUAGUACUGUUUAUCAACAAGUGUCAAACAAAUUAAUAGAAUAUACAAAUGAAGAAAUAAAUAAAAUGAGUGAGUUACAAAUAAAAGAUGAACUCAGAAAAAGAGGUUACCCUGUAUUUGGAACAAUAGAAGAAAUAAAAAUGAGAUUAUUAAAUGUUAUGGAAAUUAAAGAACAACAUAAUUUAGAUAUACAGGGAAUUUUAAAACAACCGGAGAAACAUAUAUUAUCAAGUGUACGUAUGGAUAAAUUAAAAGAAAGUAUACAACAGUAUAAAGAAAACGAACAAGCUUCUGAUACUGAGUCUAAGAUAAGACAACUUGAUGCAGGUAUUGAAAUUGAAAAAUUUUUAGACGACCCAGUUAAUUAUUUGAGAGUUGAUACAACACAUAAACUUACCCAGAUGAGUGAGUUACCGUAUGGAGCGUCUAAUUUUAGUAGUGAUAGUGGAGAUGUCAAUAGUGAUAGCGGAAAUGUUAGUAGUGAUAGUGGAAAUGUUAGUAGCGAUAGUGGAAAUGUUAGUAGUGAUAGUGGAAAUGUUAGUAAUGAUAGUGAAAAUGUUAGUAGUAGGAAUAGAAGUGAUAUACUUGCCCAAACGGAUAAUAAUAACAACAAUAGUACACUAUUAAACAACGAAGAAAUUAGUAAAAUCCCCAUAAUUAAUGAUUAUAAUUUUGAAAGAGAAAUAAGUAUGGCAGAUAAGUUAACAAAAACUUUUAAUUUUGAAUCAGAUGAACCAGAGAGACCUAAGAGUGUUAUUCAGUAUAGCGAGAAUGACGAUAAUGCAAAUGAAGAGAAAUAUAGAAAAGAGGUAUUAAAGUAUGGUGCACUUGUUGAAACUGUAAACGAGUUUUAUAUAAAACAUCA